UACGUAGGGGGGCAAGCGUUGUCCGGAUUUAUUGGGCGUAAAGCGCGCGCAGGCGGUCUGCCAAGUUCGGAGUGACAGUUUCCGGCUUAACCGGAAAAGGUCUUCGAAAACUGGUGGACUUGAGGACUUGAGAGGGAGACGGAAUUCCUGGUGUAGCGGUGGAAAUGCGCAGAUAUCAGGAGGAACACCAAUGGCGAAGGCAGCUCUCUGGUACGUGACUGACGCUGAGACGCGAAAGCGUGGGGAGCAAACAGG
rnacentral:rRNA from 1 species